GACGAACGCUGGCGGCGUGCUUAACACAUGCAAGUCGAACGGAAAGGCCCUGCUUUUGUGGGGUGCUCGAGUGGCGAACGGGUGAGUAACACGUGAGUAACCUGCCCUUGACUUUGGGAUAACUUCAGGAAACUGGGGCUAAUACCGGAUAGGAGCUCCUGCUGCAUGGUGGGGGUUGGAAAGUUUCGGCGGUUGGGGAUGGACUCGCGGCUUAUCAGCUUGUUGGUGGGGUAGUGGCUUACCAAGGCUUUGACGGGUAGCCGGCCUGAGAGGGUGACCGGCCACAUUGGGACUGAGAUACGGCCCAGACUCCUACGGGAGGCAGCAGUGGGGAAUAUUACACAAUGGGCGGAAGCCUGAUGCAGCAACGCCGCGUGCGGGAUGACGGCCUUUGGGUUGUAAACCGCUUUCGCCUGUGACGAAGCGUGAGUGACGGUAAUGGGUAAAGAAGCACCGGCUAACUACGUG
rnacentral:rRNA from 1 species